GUGGCGCACGGGUGCGUAACGCGUAUGCAACCUACCUUAAUCAGGGGGAUAGCCCGAAGAAAUUCGGAUUAACACCGCAUAAAAUCACAGUAUAGCAUUAUACAAUGAUCAAAUAUUUAUAGGAUUAAGAUGGGCAUGCGUGACAUUAGUUAGUUGGCGGGGUAACGGCCCACCAAGACCACGAUGUCUAGGGGAUCUGAGAGGAUGACCCCCCACACUGGUACUGAGACACGGACCAUACUCCUACGGGAGGCAGCAGUAAGGCAAUGGUCAUGGAGGCACCCUGAACCAGCCAUGCCGCGUGCAGGAAGACAGCCCUCUGGGUCGUAAACUGCUUUUAUUCGGGAAUAAACCUAUCUAGGUGUAGAUAGCUGAAUGUACCGAAGGAAUAAGGAUCGGCUAACUCCGUGCCAGCAGCCGCGGUAAUACGGAGGAUCCAAGCGUUAUCCGGAUUUAUUGGGUUUAAAGGGUGCGUAGGCGGCUUAUUAAGUCAGGGGUGAAAGACGGUGGCUCAACCAUCGCAGUGCCUUUGAUACUGACUCAGCUUGAAUAUACUAGAGGUAGGCGGAAUGUGACAAGUAGCGGUGAAAAUGCAUUA
rnacentral:rRNA from 1 species